rnacentral:sRNA from 1 species
ACCAAAGCUGAACAUGGACGUGACCAUCCAGCACCCCUGGUUCAAGCGCGCUCUGGGGCCCUUCUACCCCAGCCGGCUGUUCGACCAGUUUUUCGGCGAGGGCCUUUUUGAGUAUGACCUGCUGCCCUUCCUGUCGUCCCCAUCAGCCCCUACUACCGCCAUCCCCCUUCCGCCACCGGUGCUGGACUCCGGCAUCUCUGACUCAUGGCUCAUGUGUGCUUUGUAAGGCACCAGCCACAUACUGGAAACCCCAAGAGCAGCCCAUCCAGGUUCGAUCCGACCGGGACAAGUUCGUCAUCUUCCUCGAUGUGAAGCACUUCUCCCCGGAGGACCUCACCGUGAAGGUGCAGGACGACUUUGUGGAGAUCCACGGAAAGCACAAUGAGCGCCAGGAUGACCACGGCUACAUCUCCCGUGAGUUCCACCGCCGCUACCGCCUGCCGUCCAACGUGGACCAGUCGGCCCUCUCUUGCUCCCUGUCCGCCGAUGGCAUGCUGACCUUCUGUGGCCCCAAGAUCCAGACUGGCCUGGAUGCCACCCACGGCGAGCGAGCCAUCCCUGUGUCGCGGGAGGAGAAGCCCACCUCGGCUCCCUCGUCCUAAGCAGGCAUCGCCUCGGCUGGCUCCCCUGCAGCCCCGGCCCAUCAUGGGGGGAGCACCCUGAGGGCGGGGUGUCUGUCUUCCUUUGCUUCCCUGUUUUUCCUUUCCACCUUCUCACAUGGAAUGAGGGUUUGAGAGAGCAGCCAGGAGAGCUCAGGGUCUCAGGGUGUCCCAGACCCCGACACCGGCCAGUGGCGGAAGUGACCGCACCUCACACUCCUUUAGAUAGCAGCCUGGCUCCCCUGGGGUGCAGGCGCCUCAACUCUGCUGAGGGUCCAGAAGGAGGGGGUGACCUCCGGCCAGGUGCUUCCGGACACACCUGCAGCCUCCCUCCGCGGCGGGCCCUGCCCACACCUCCCGGGGCGCGUGAGGCCCGUGGGGCCGGGGCUUCUGUGCGCCUGGGCUCUCGCGGCCUCUUCUCUCAGACCGUCUUCCUCCAACCCCUCUAUGUAGUGCCGCUCUUGGGGACAUGGAUCGCCCAUGAGAGCGCAGCCCGCGGCAAUCAAUAAAGAGCAGGUGAUACAAGCAA